UACAGAGGUCCCAAGCGUUUGUUCGGAUUUACUGGGCGUAAAGGGUGCGUAGGUGGUCGGGUAAGUCUCAUGUGAAAUCUCCAAGCUCAACUUGGAAAUGGCAUGGGAUACUAUUCGGCUAGAGGAUUGGAGGGGGGACUGGAAUUCCCGGUGUAGCAGUGAAAUGCGUAGAUAUCGGGAGGAACACCAGUGGCGAAGGCGAGUCCCUGGACAAUUCCUGACGCUGAGGCACGAAAGCUAGGGGAGCAAACAGG
rnacentral:rRNA from 1 species